rnacentral:sRNA from 1 species
AAAAAUUAUCAUUAAACAAGCUUCUGAUCAACAAAAUAAUAUCCCAAAAAGGUGGAUUAAAUUUUUGUUUUCUUCAUAGACAUAAGGAAAUUAACUUUACAGUCUGACCAUUGAUUAACUUUCAGCAAUGUGCACAACUGCCAUUUUGAUAACACCAUAGUUUAAGAUGCCAAAAAAACAAAGGAAGAUGGAGCGAGAAAGAUGAAUUACGCUAUAGGAAUUGAUUUUCCUCUUAAGUGCUCAAGUCUCACUUUAAAUUCAACUAUCACGGAUGAGCCAAAUGCCCAGCCCUAAACAAAAAGAUUAACUUAGUAAUUGAUACCUUGUAGAAAGACAAACCGUGAGAUCAGUGAAAGUGGUAAGUUGCCUGGAUAUCACGAAAGUGUCAAGACUCUUCUCUUCACCAUCUUUAAUCAUAUCUUCCAUCAUAUGAAUCUUCAGCAUCUUGAAUUGACGAUCGAAGACAGGCUUGUAGAGAUGACUCAAACGUGUACCACAAUGGCCUCAUAAUAUAGAUGCAAGAUUAUUAUGAUUGAAUGACGAUUCUUCGGAUGCAUAUGUAGGAAUAAACACUGCGUCAUACGAGUUCUCAUAACCAUCAAUUCACUUUCGAAUAGAAAUGGUAAAUUUUCAUUACAAACUGAUCCAAGCACUUCAAGACCUAAUGAGAACAAAGUAAAUCAACACAAAGACAGUGUCCGGACUUUUGAUAGGAUUUAUUUUUUAAAAGGUAUUUCGCAUAUAAACUUCUUAACAUAGAUCUCUACAUAUAUAGACAAAAUGAAAUAAAUACAAAGAUGUGCUUCAUAAGUUCUCAACAAAGCCCAAGUAAUCUCCACAAUAAGGCUUAUUUAUAAGUCCUCUAAUCUGAGUGACUUCAAUGAUUCUUCCAGCCCAAAACAAGGCUUCUCUCCUCCAGAAAAAUAAUUAGGAUUAUUAUAUUAUUAUUUGUUUUGUUUCCUCGAAUAAAAAAGAGAAUCCGAGAACUUUUUAAGACAAAAGCCAAGUCUUCGAAACCUUAUGAGAUGUGAUAGGGUUACAAGGGUAAAACAGGAACUCAGAAUAAAAAUAUGAGAAUAUUACACGUAGAGGCACUAUUUCAAAACUUUGGACACAAUAGAACACUUUAAAACCAUUAGUCACUUUAACUCAGUAUAAUUACCCCUUUACCCUGAAAUCGUUGGUUUAAUAAAACAUAACAAAUUUAGCCGGUUUUCUCUAAUCCGGUUCCGGUUGAACCACGUAUUAUCAGUUACUGUCAUUUACCAACACGAUUGUAAAAUCUUCAUUUACCAACACGAUUGUAAAAAACCGCUUACCCAGUAAAAACCCUAAUUUACUGUAUCUCCACAUCGCCACUGCUCCCAAUCCGUCGCCUGCUCCGAAUCCGGCGACUCCUCCGUCGCUGUCCAUCAAUCCGCCACUCAGGCGAGUCUAUACUCGCUGAAUAAAAACCAAAUAGUAAUUUCCCCCAAAUCUCUGCAAUAAUCGAAUUCGAUUUCGAUUUAUUGUUCUCGUAAGCCAGAUUCAUUAGCAUUCCAGUUGAUUCUCACUGAUCGGAAUACUCAAUGGAAGGUACAAAUCGUUUCCAAUCAUCUUAUUUUGGUCCAAUUAACUCAGAAGAAGAAAUCCUCUUCUCGCUGAAUGUUUCUGCAAUUUUUUUUUUGAAUCGAAAAAUGUUUCCCAAUUGUUUGUAGCUAAGCACAGACGUUUGUACAAAUACUCGUUAAUAAUCGUUAUCUCUUGAACUGGUUUCUUGCCAAUGAACAGGGUCGACAUCUCAGGAACCAUCUUCUCAGUGGGAUUCAAACCUUCCAAAUAGACUCUUCGCCACCGAUCAUUAUCCGAGGGGAAGGCUGAACGUAUACUCUAGACCGGAUAUUCUAUCCUUUAUCAAGAAGGUUUUUGAUGGGACAGAGGAAUUAGAUUUUAUACUUCAGUCUUGCUUUGGUCCUUUAUUCCAUUUGCCAGUUAGUAGGGUUGCGACUUCGGGUAAGGUCAUUCAUGCCUUGUUAUGUAGACAGUUGCUUACUAAGAAAAAGUAUGAGUUUUGGACAGUUUUUGGUGGACACCCAAUGAGAUUUUCACUACUAGAAUUUGCUUCCGUGACUGGCUUACCUUGUGGGGAGUUUCCUGACGAGUAUGACCCUGAAGAUUCUCCUGUUUAUGAUGAUGGCAAGAAGAGCUACUGGAAUGAGUUAAUUGGUCCAGACAAGACGGUUACAUUAGGCGAGAUACUUCGGACGGGUGAGCUGACGAGCUGCUUGAGACUGGCGAGCUGAUGAGCUGACGAGAUGCUUCAGACGGGUGAGCUGACGAGCUGGUUGAGACGGGAGAGCUGACGAGCUGCUCUUAGUCUCUAAGUGUCCUCGCGGAAUCCCCCUUUGACAAGACAUGCUAUUCCGUAUUUAUAGCCUUCUGCGUGUAAUGACAUCUUUACAAUCAUUCAAUAAUGAAAUGGCGCCUUUCAUGUCGAGAGAACAGAACCCUAGCCUCAAGCUCUGGAGAUACAUAGCGUAAGGGUUUCUUUUUGCAAGACAUUUGGAGUAGAAUGAGAAGUGAACAGAGUCGGGUGAAGACAUGUUGAUGAAGUCAGGGCUUUUAUCUAAACGAACUCGGGAUAGUGUCUCGACAGAGAAAGCUGCAGAUUUCCCUUCAUGACCAGAUUUAAUCCAGUUUUUCAGAGCCUCAAUUCCUUCUUCUGAAACGUGGCUAACAAUUAGUGCGAGAAUUGGUUCCGGAAUGUAUAAUCUUGCAAUCUUCCUCUGUUGACAACGAAGACGAAAGUUUAUAGAAGUUACAUAUACUUUGUGGAAUGAAUGUAAACUAUAUUGUUUAAAAAAUUGAAAAAUUUAACCUGUGUGUCGCUAGAUUGUGUGAUAGAGUGUAGACAUUUCGAUGAUGUACUCAUUUUGUCAAUUUGUUGCGAAUAACGAAAGAGUAAGAUGUGAUGGAGAGAGAAGUUUUAGUACUGAUCAAAACGGUUUAGAAAUGAGUAAUAAAAACAGAGUAAUUAAUUGGAUGUUUCUCUUAAUAGGUCACAAUCGUGAGGGAUGAAGCUUAGUGGGGAGUACGGGUUCAGUUAAUAUUCACUAUAUAUUAACUCUAAAUAUAAAAGCUACCACUUGAAUUCCAUUAAACCAAUUUCAUAUACAAAAACGCAAGUCAUAGUUCUGAAACAACUCAAAUCAUUUGUAUAAUAAUUGUGACACCUUUUAGUUGUUGAUUAUUAAGCUUUUGGAAAACGGUUUAUAGGGAUGGCAAAUGAUUUGAGUUGUUUCAUAAUUAGCUCGAAUGAUUUACAAAUCAACAACACAGUUUACAAACAGAGGUCAAAAUUAAUAUUUUUGUGUAUUUUGAACUAUUGUUGAUUUGUAAAUCUUAAUAUAAAUGUCAUCCAGUCAUAGUGAAUUAUUCAAUCAGACAAACGAAUUAAUACAGUUAUGUUGUGGAUGGAUUCAUAUGGAUACAUUAACAAUUAUCUUUCUCUUUCAACAUGAAAGAUAAAUCUAAAAUUCCUUCUACCGGAAAUAUUGAGAUACUGUUGUAUAGCGGAAAUAUUCCCACCAUCAGGUUUUAAACUAGGAUUUUUUUGGUUCGAGCAUAAUUCGGGGACAUUAUGGUUAGAGCACAAUUAUAGUUAGAUCAUUAUCUUUUU